CGGCCCCCCUCCCUCCCGGCAGCGCUCGCCUCCCUCCGCCUCAGACUGUUUUGGUAGCAACGGCAACGGCGGCGGCGUGUCCCGGCCCGGCUCCCGGCGGCUCCUCGGUAUCGGCGGGCCUCCCCGCCCCUUCGUUGUCCUCCUCCUCCCCUUCGCCAGCCCGGGGGCCCCCCCGGCCGCGCCAACCCGCGCCUCCCCGCUCGGCGCCCGCGCGUCCUCGCCGCGCUCCGGCGUCUCCUCGGCGCGCCCAGCUCCCGGCUGUCCCCGCCCGGCGUGCGAGCCGGUGUAUGGGCCUCUCACCAUGUCGCUGAAGCCCCAGCAGCAGCAGCAGCAGCAGCCGCCCGCGGCAGCCAAUGUCCGCAAGCCCGGCGGCGGCGGCCUUCUCACGUCGCCUGCCGCCGCGCCGUCGGCGUCCUCGUCCUCAGUCUCGUCGUCCUCGGCCGCGGCUUCCUCCUCGGCGGCCGCAGCGAGCGCAGGCGGCGGGAGGCCCGGACUGGGCAGAGGUCGAAACAGUAGCAAAGGACUGCCUCAGUCUACGAUUUCUUUUGACGGAAUCUAUGCAAACAUGAGGAUGGUUCAUAUACUUACAUCGGUUGUUGGAUCCAAAUGUGAAGUACAAGUGAAAAAUGGAGGUAUAUAUGAAGGAGUUUUUAAAACAUACAGUCCUAAGUGCGAUUUGGUACUUGAUGCUGCACACGAGAAAAGUACAGAAUCCAGUUCGGGCCCAAAACGUGAAGAAAUAAUGGAAAGUAUUUUGUUUAAGUGUUCUGACUUUGUUGUCGUACAGUUCAAAGAUAUGGACUCGAGUUAUGCAAGAAGAGAUGCUUUUACUGACUCUGCUAUCAGUGCUAAAGUGAAUGGUGAACACAAAGAGAAGGACCUGGAGCCCUGGGAUGCGGGGGAACUCACAACCAAUGAGGAACUGGAGGCUUUGGAAAAUGACGUGUCUAAUGGAUGGGAUCCCAAUGAUAUGUUUCGAUAUAAUGAAGAAAAUUAUGGUGUAGUGUCUACAUAUGAUAGCAGUUUAUCUUCAUAUACGGUGCCCUUAGAAAGGGAUAACUCAGAAGAAUUUUUAAAACGGGAAGCAAGGGCAAACCAGUUAGCAGAAGAAAUCGAAUCAAGUGCCCAGUACAAAGCUCGGGUGGCCCUGGAAAAUGAUGAUAGGAGCGAGGAAGAAAAAUACACAGCAGUUCAGAGAAAUUCCAGUGAACGUGAGGGGCACAGCAUAAACACUAGGGAAAAUAAAUAUAUUCCUCCUGGACAAAGAAAUAGAGAAGUCAUAUCCUGGGGAAGUGGGAGACAGAAUUCACCGCGUAUGGGCCAGCCUGGAUCGGGCUCCAUGCCAUCAAGAUCCGCUUCUCACACUUCAGAUUUCAACCUGAAUUCUGGUUCAGACCAAAGAGUAGUUAAUGGAGGUGUUCCCUGGCCAUCGCCUUGCCCAUCUCCUUCCUCUCGCCCACCUUCUCGCUACCAGUCAGGUCCCAACUCUCUUCCACCUCGGGCAGCCACCCCUACACGGCCGCCCUCCAGGCCCCCCUCGCGGCCAUCCAGACCCCCGUCUCACCCCUCUGCUCAUGGUUCUCCAGCUCCUGUCUCUACUAUGCCUAAACGCAUGUCUUCAGAAGGACCUCCAAGGAUGUCCCCAAAGGCCCAGCGACACCCUCGAAAUCACAGAGUUUCUGCUGGGAGGGGUUCCAUUUCCAGUGGCCUAGAGUUUGUAUCCCACAACCCACCAAGUGAAGCAGCUACUCCUCCAGUGGCAAGGACCAGUCCCUCGGGGGGAACAUGGUCAUCAGUGGUCAGUGGGGUUCCAAGAUUGUCCCCUAAAACUCACAGACCCAGGUCACCCAGACAAAACAGUAUUGGAAAUACUCCCAGUGGGCCAGUUCUUGCUUCUCCCCAAGCUGGAAUUAUUCCAACUGAAGCUGUUGCCAUGCCUGUUCCAGCUGCAUCUCCUACACCUGCUAGUCCUGCAUCUAACAGAGCUGUUACCCCUUCUGUUGAGGCUAAAGAUUCCAGGCUUCAAGAUCAGAGGCAGAACUCUCCUGCAGGGAAUAAAGAAAAUAUUAAGCCCAGUGAAACAUCACCUAGCUUCUCAAAAGCUGAAAAUAAAGGUGUAUCGCCAAUUAUUUCUGAACAUAGAAAACAGAUUGAUGAUUUAAAGAAAUUUAAGAAUGAUUUUAGGUUACAGCCAAGUUCUACUUCUGAAUCUAUGGAUCAACUAUUAAACAAAAAUAGAGAGGGAGAAAAAUCAAGAGAGUUGAUCAAAGACAAAAUUGAAUCAAGUGUUAAGGAUUCUUUCAUUGACAAUAGCAGCAGCAACUGUACCAGUGGCAGCAGCAAGGCGAAUAGCCCCAGCGUUUCCCCUUCAAUACUUAGUAACACAGAGCACAAGAGGGGACCUGAGGUCACAUCCCAAGGAGUUCAGACUUCCAGUCCAGCAUGUAAGCAAGAGAAAGAUGAUAAAGAAGAGAAGAAAGAUGCAGCUGAGCAAGUUAGGAAAUCAACAUUGAAUCCCAAUGCAAAGGAGUUCAACCCACGUUCCUUUUCUCAGCCAAAGCCUUCUACCACCCCAACUUCUCCUCGGCCUCAAGCACAACCUAGCCCAUCUAUGGUGGGUCAUCAACAGCCGACUCCAGUUUAUACUCAGCCUGUUUGUUUUGCACCAAAUAUGAUGUAUCCAGUCCCAGUGAGCCCAGGCGUGCAACCUUUAUACCCAAUACCCAUGACGCCCAUGCCUGUGAAUCAAGCCAAGACAUAUAGAGCAGGUAAAGUACCAAAUAUGCCCCAACAGCGGCAAGACCAGCAUCACCAGAGCACCAUGAUGCAUCCAGCCUCCGCAGCAGGCCCACCGAUUGUAGCCACCCCACCAGCUUACUCCACGCAAUACGUUGCCUAUAGUCCUCAGCAGUUUCCAAAUCAGCCACUUGUUCAGCAUGUGCCACAUUAUCAGUCUCAGCAUCCUCACGUCUACAGUCCUGUCAUACAGGGUAACGCUAGGAUGAUGGCACCACCAGCACAUGCCCAGCCUGGUUUAGUGUCUUCAUCAGCAGCUCAGUACGGAGCUCAUGAGCAGACACAUGCCAUGUAUGCAUGUCCCAAAUUACCAUACAACAAGGAGACAAGCCCUUCUUUCUACUUUGCCAUUUCCACGGGCUCCCUUGCUCAGCAGUAUGCGCACCCUAACGCUACCCUGCACCCACAUACUCCACAUCCUCAGCCUUCAGCCACCCCCACUGGACAGCAACAAAGCCAACAUGGUGGAAGUCAUCCUGCACCCAGUCCUGUUCAGCACCAUCAGCACCAGGCUGCCCAGGCUCUCCAUCUGGCCAGUCCGCAGCAGCAGUCCGCCAUCUACCACGCAGGGCUCGCGCCAACCCCACCUUCCAUGACACCUGCCUCUAAUACGCAGUCGCCACAGAAUAGCUUCCCCACAGCACAACAGACCGUCUUUACGAUCCAUCCUUCUCACGUCCAGCCGGCAUAUACCAACCCACCCCACAUGGCCCACGUACCUCAGGCUCAUGUACAGUCAGGAAUGGUUCCUUCUCAUCCAACUGCCCAUGCGCCAAUGAUGCUAAUGACGACACAGCCACCCGGCGGUCCCCAGGCCGCCCUCGCUCAAAGUGCACUACAGCCCAUUCCAGUCUCGACAACAGCGCAUUUCCCCUAUAUGACGCACCCUUCAGUACAAGCCCACCACCAACAGCAGUUGUAAGGCUGCCCUGGAGGAACCGAAAGGCCAAAUUCCCUCCUCCCUUCUACUGCUUCUACCAACUGGAAGCACAGAAAACUAGAAUUUCAUUUAUUUUGUUUUUAAAAAAUAUGUUGAUUUCUUGUAACAUCCAAUAGGAAUGUUAACAGUUCACUUGCAGUGGAAGACAUUUGGACCGAGUAGAGGCAUUUAGGAACUUGUGGGCUAUUCCAUAAUUCCAUACGCUGUUUCAAAGUCCCGCAAGUACCCCAGCUCUGCUUGCCGAAACUGGAAGUUAUUUAUUUUUUAAUGACCCUUGAAAGUCAUGAACACAUCAGCUAGCAACAGAAGUAACAAGAGUGAUUCUUGCUGCUAUUACCGCAAAAAAAAAAAAAAAAAAAAUCAAGACUCGGAACGCCCUUUUACUAAACUUGACAAAGUUCUGGUUCAAGGUAUCUCUAGAAAAAGACAAGACUGAGAUGUUCUUUGGUGGAGUAGAGGUCUGCUUCAGGAGGAGGAAGGUUGGCCAAGGUUGGGCAGCACUGAAAUCCCACGUCCUCAGGCUGACGCGGAAUCUAAAUGAUCAAAGGCAGAAGAUUUAUACCAGAUAAAGCCAUAUGGAUUGCUGGUCUAAAAUUCAAGGCAGGUUAGUUGACUUAAUUCUUUGGUGCUGGUGACUUGUUAGUUUGUAAAAGUGUAAUAAAGUCAGAUGAAGGAAGUGAUGGUGCCGGGAGCCGUCAAGCUAUCCUUGUCUGUAAUUAGAGCUAACUGGAGGGAUCGUGGUGCACCCUGCCCGGUCUGGCACUGAGGCUUGGUCCUCAGUGGAAGUUGCUGGCUUGGCCCCGUCAGGACUGGGAGGAGAGUGGUGGAAUGUGCUGGGCCUGUGGUGGGCUAGCUGCAACCAGAGGGGUCCUGGCCCACGCUGCUGCCACCCUUUCAUCGGCUGGUCCUGCUCUAGCACAAAGAAAAGGCAUUGGCAUAGUGUCACUUCUUCCCAGGGCCAUGAGGGAGCUUUUUGUCAGAAUGUAUUUGCCCUGUCCUGGUAACCUGGACGUGUUUAGAAAGGAAGCUGUCUGGAGGUGAGUGGCUUCCAAUUCUCUGCCACAGAAUCUGAGCUGGUACUUUGCCAUGGGUCACAGCUGCUAAAUCUGCUGUACCUGGUGUGCCUCCUGGCACUACCUGAGAGAGAGAUGAGAGGCUGCUAAGAAAUGAGUGCCCCUGGCUUGAAGAUGUCAUAACCCAGAUAUUUAAACUUCUGGC